rnacentral:rRNA from 1 species
GACGAACGCUGGCGGCGUGCUUAACACAUGCAAGUCGAGCGGUAAGGCCUUUCGGGGUACACGAGCGGCGAACGGGUGAGUAACACGUGGGUGACCUGCCUUUAGCUUCGGGAUAAGCCUGGGAAACCGGGGUCUAAUACCGGAUAUGACCUCAUGUCGCAUGGUGUGGGGUGGAAAGUUCUUCGGCUAGAGAUGGGGCCCGCAGCCUAUCAGCUUGUUGGUGGGGUGAUGGCCUACCAAGGCGACGACGGUAGCCGGCCUGAGAGGCGACCGGCCACACUGGGACUGAGAUACGGCCCAGACUCCUACGGGAGGCAGCAGUGGGGAAUCUUGCGCAAUGGGCGAAAGCCUGACGCAGCGACGCCGCGUUGAGGGAUGACGGCCUCGGUU